rnacentral:rRNA from 1 species
UACGGAGGGUGCAAGCGUUAUCCGGAUUCACUGGGUUUAAAGGGUGCGUAGGCGGAUUCUUAAGUCCGUGGUGAAAUCUCCAAGCUUAACUUGGAAACUGCCAUGGAUACUAUUAGUCUUGAAUGUUGUGGAGGUUAGCGGAAUAUGUCAUGUAGCGGUGAAAUGCAUAGAUAUGACAUGGAACACCAAUUGCGAAGGCAGCUGGCUACACAAAUAUUGACGCUGAGGCACGAAAGCGUGGGGAUCAAACAGG